rnacentral:snoRNA from 1 species
UGAAAAUAAUGAAAUAGAGGUGAAAUUCUGUUUGAAUGAUGUGUAUUAAAUGUGUGUGAUUUAACACUUAAUUUAUGCUUUUGAAUUAUAAUGUGCGUUGGAGAAAAGGCGCGAGGACUAUAACAUGGGGGCACUGGUAGAUAAAGUGCUGAUUUUUGCAGUGUAUCUGAGGCAUAUUGAAAUUUGGGGGGAUUUUUUUCCCCAACAUUGCCAGUGAUCAGAGUCCAGAAUAAGUUCAACAGAUGAAUCUAGACAUCUUAAAAAUCUGAGUUCACUGACAUAAAUGAUCCUGUGAUCUGAUCCAA